UCCCCACGUCAAAACCACCUCCUAGCGAUUCUAUAGGCUGCAAAAGGAAAAACCUACCAUACUCCUACCAGGGCGCACAACUCUCCUAGGUCAAACACGUCGGCGGAGAUGAUGGAGACAUAUGGCAGGCGCACCCGUGGAUUUCGAGGAUCCUGACUGGCCGGCCAUUGGGAAGGAACGAAGCGCACAAGAUCGAGCACCGAGCAAGGCGCUGCUGCUGCCCCUGCCGCCAUCCAUCAUCUGCCGCAGUGGGUCAUCGUUAGAAGGCUAGGGCAAAUCUCCCGCAUAUUCCUCUUUGCAAGAUACAAAAGUAAGAACGUUUUGCCAGCAACAAAAUUAUUUCCUGAUUGUUAAUCUGUUCUGGUGCCUCAUAUGUGUAUUUGUUCCCUUCAACCGUACAUCAGCUCUCCUCUCCCGUGAUUUUGUUGAUGAAUCCUAAAGCUUCUGCGAAAAUAUCAUCCUUAGCCUACCUAUCCAAUUUGCCAGGUAAAAAAUAGAACACCAUCUGUUUGGCGUGAUUCCCUCAAACAGGAAAGGAAAAAGAAAUAGAUCUAAACAGCGUCGAGUUACAAUGCUGCCGCUAGCAGCCGUACAUACCUAGAAUCGUAAGGAAGAGGAGCCACGUAUUCCUCUCCGUAAUCUGUCAGACUAUAUGGGGAUUGUGCAUCUCACCGACGGCAGCGACCUAAGUUUGCUUCUCCAGUUCCAAGAUCACAUCCGUCCAGGGCGGCAUUACGGAGGGUCCCUUUACUCGGUUCUGAUGAUAGACAGGCCAUAUACGUAAGCAAUUAGAUUCCCAAUCAGAUGUAUAAUGUUUUGCGCUCUUUAGUGUACAAGAGCAAUUAUUUCGUUUCAACCGAUGUACUUUGACCAUGGUUGGUCAUGGUGACCACUGGCUGCCUCCAUCUCUAUGGGAAAAAAGCUUUACAAAUUGGGAGGAGUUCACGCCAUGAAAAAGAAUACAUCAGAUGAAAAUAUAUAGGAGGAAUUUGUGGGAAAAUAAGAUGUAAGUUAUUCCCCAGAUAUAUGCUAGGUCUUCUUCCUUAUAAUUUGCUACUUCGCUACGUCCGGAAAAUUUGUAUGGGCUCUAUGUGAUGGAUGAUGCUUUGUAUAAC
rnacentral:lncRNA from 1 species